rnacentral:rRNA from 1 species
UACAGAGGGGGCAAGCGUUGUUCGGAAUUACUGGGCGUAAAGGGCGCGUAGGCGGCCUUCUAAGUCGAACGUGAAAUCCCCGGGCUCAACCCGGGAACUGCGUCCGAUACUGGAAGGCUUGAAUCCGGGAGAGGGAUGUGGAAUUCCAGGUGUAGCGGUGAAAUGCGUAGAUAUCUGGAGGAACACCGGUGGCGAAGGCGGCUUCCUGGACCGACACUGACGCUGAGGCGCGAAAGCUAGGGGAGCAAACGGG